rnacentral:rRNA from 1 species
CGGAACGGGUGAGUAACGCGUGAGGAACCGGCCUCAAAGAGGGGGACAACAGUUGGAAACGGCUGCUAAUACCGCAUAAGCCCACGGCUCGGCAUCGAGCAGAGGGAAAAGGAGCAAUCCGCUUUGAGAUGGCCUCGCGUCCGAUUAGCUAGUUGGUGAGGUAAUGGCCCACCAAGGCAACGAUCGGUAGCCGGACUGAGAGGUUGAACGGCCACAUUGGGACUGAGACACGGCCCAA